GCCUGUAGCCAUGUCACCUUGUGCUCUAAUCACAUCUGAUUUUAUAAAUGAAGUCAUGAUGGGCCUGGCCAGCACUCGGAUGAGAGACUGCUAAAGAAAAUCCAACAUGCCGCAGGAA
rnacentral:rRNA from 1 species